UUUAAUUAUUAACAAAUCAUAACAUAAAGAAAGUUUAGAAAUUUCUAACCCAAAAAUUAUUCU
rnacentral:tRNA from 1 species